GGCCUCGUAGCUCAGCUGGUAGAGCAUGCGCGUACAAAGCGUAGGCGGCGUCUAUGCGUGGGUUCGAAUCCCACCGAGGGUA
rnacentral:tRNA from 1 species